GAUGAACGCUGGCGGCGUGCCUAAUACAUGCAAGUCGAGCGAACAGACGAGGAGCUUGCUCCUCUGACGUUAGCGGCGGACGGGUGAGUAACACGUGGAUAACCUACCUAUAAGACUGGGAUAACUUCGGGAAACCGGAGCUAAUACCGGAUAAUAUAUUGAACCGCAUGGUUCAAUAGUGAAAGACGGUUUUGCUGUCACUUAUAGAUGGAUCCGCGCCGCAUUAGCUAGUUGGUAAGGUAACGGCUUACCAAGGCAACGAUGCGUAGCCGACCUGAGAGGGUGAUCGGCCACACUGGAACUGAGACACGGUCCAGACUCCUACGGGAGGCAGCAGUAGGGAAUCUUCCGCAAUGGGCGAAAGCCUGACGGAGCAACGCCGCGGGAGUGAUGAAGGUCUUCGGAUCGUAAAACUCUGUUAUUAGGGAAGAACAAAUGUGUAAGUAACUAUGCACGUCUUGACGGUACCUAAUCAGAAAGCCACGGCUAACUACGU
rnacentral:rRNA from 1 species